AACGAACGCUGGCGGCAUGCCUAACACAUGCCAGUCGAACGAGACCUUCGGGUCUAGUGGCGCACGGGUGCGUAACGCGUGGGAACCUGCCCUUAGGUUCGGAAUAACUCCCCGAAAGGGGUGCUAAUACCGGAUAAUGUCUUCGGACCAAAGAUUUAUCGCCUUUGGAUGGGCCCGCGUUGGAUUAGCUAGUUGGUAGGGUAAAAGCCUACCAAGGCGACGAUCCAUAGCUGGUCUGAGAGGAUGAUCAGCCACACUGGGACUGAGACACGGCCCAGACACCUACGGGAGGCAGCAGUGGGGAAUAUUGGACAAUGGGCGAAAGCCUGAUCCAGCAAUGCCGCGUGAGUGAUGAAGGACUUAGGGUUGUAAAGCUCUUUUACCCGGGAUGAUAAUGACAGUACCGGGAGAAUAAGCGCCGGCUAACUCCGUG
rnacentral:rRNA from 1 species